GACGUAGGGCGCGAGCGUUGUCCGGAUUUAUUGGGCGUAAAGAGCUCGUAGGCGGCUUGUCGCGUCCGUCCGUGAAAACCUGCAGCUCAACUGCAGGCUUGCGGGCGAUACGGGCAGGCUAGAGUUCGGUAGGGGAGACUGGAAUUCCUGGUGUAGCGGUGAAAUGCGCAGAUAUCAGGAGGAACACCGGUGGCGAAGGCGGGUCUCUGGGGCCGAAUACUGACCGCUGAGGAGCGAAAGCGUGGGGAGCGAACAGG
rnacentral:rRNA from 1 species